rnacentral:rRNA from 1 species
UGGGGAAUAUUGCACAAUGGGGGAAACCCUGAUGCAGCAACGCCGCGUGAGUGAUGACGGCCUUCGGGUUGUAAAGCUCUGUCUUCAGGGACGAUAAUGACGGUACCUGAGGAGGAAGCCACGGCUAACUACGUGCCAGCAGCCGCGGUAAUACGUAGGUGGCAAGCGUUGUCCGGAUUUACUGGGCGUAAAGGGAGCGUAGGCGGACUUUUAAGUGAGAUGUGAAAUACCCGGGCUCAACCUGGGUGCUGCAUUUCAAACUGGAAGUCUAGAGUGCAGGAGAAGAGAGUGGAAUUCCUAGUGUAGCGGUGAAAUGCGUAGAGAUUAGGAAGAACACCAGUGGCGAAGGCGACUCUCUGGACUGUAACUGACGCUGAGGCUCGAAAGCGUGGGGAGCAAACA